AGUGAACGCUGGCGGCGUGCCUAAUACAUGCAAGUCGAACGGAAUUUAAAAGAGCUUGCUCUUUUAAAUUUAGUGGCGCACGGGUGAGUAAUAUAUAGCUAAUCUGCCCCUUGCUGGAGGACAACAGUUAGAAAUGACUGCUAAUACUCCAUACUCCUUUUUACCAUAAGAUAAAUCGGGAAAGAAUUUCGGCAAGGGAUGAGACUAUAUCGUAUCAGCUAGUCGGUGGGGUAACGGCCUACCGAGGCUAUGACGCGUAACUGGUCUGAGAGGAUGAUCAGUCACAUUGGAACUGACGACACGGUCCAAACUCCUACGGGAGGCAGCAGUAGGGAAUAUUGCGCAAUGGGGGAAACCCUGACGCAGCAACGCCGCGUGGA
rnacentral:rRNA from 1 species